GGCUGGUCCGAAGGUAGUGAGUUAUCUCACUUGAUUGUUCACAGUCAGUUACAGACUGAACUCCUUGUUCUGUUCUUUCCCCCUCUUCUCACUACCGUACUUGACUAGGAAAA
rnacentral:Y_RNA from 1 species